UGAAGGCCUUGCGUUGGGACUCCGUGCCUCCUAAACUAAGAACAAAUGAACUUGCCUUUAGGCUUUUCGCACUGCACUGUGCAUCCAGGUCCAACCCAAUGGUUAGGACGGCGGUUCUUGCAAAGCAUACAUGGAGAUGGUACAUGUGGGGAAGAAAUAUAAGAAACUCAUGCUCAUUAGCGAGGGCAGGGGUCAUAUAGUCUUCCACUUCAUCACCUUCCGCUCGGCCACUUUCGGCAAAGCAGACUAUGUACAACCUGUUCUUUUUGAAGCCCUCGGCCCCUCACCACCUGUUGAAGUUGAGGGCAGCAGCUCGCACUGUGAGGGGCUUCGGCGACGGGGCCUAUUAUGCACAUGAUGGUGUGCUACUCUCAUGGGUAGAGCUCAUCCAUGGCUUGAGUGAGUAGCCCCAAAGGCAGGUGGUAUGGCAAGCCGCGGGAAGCUCAGGGCAGGAUCAGCAGCUUCAACAGCUUCAACUGCACCAAUGCAACUGUAUGUCUCUUCAGAGUAUGUACUCAGCUCAAAAUAAAAAUCUCAAGUGUAUAUCUUCUCGAGACAUGACAUAGAUGAACACUGACAUGCUUGCUGCAAUCCCAUUAUUAACCAUGUGCUUCUAUUUCUCUCUGAAUUCGUAUUUUGAACAUGGUGAAUUUCUCGGAAUGUAGUUUCAUCUUUGCUAUUUAUGUCUCUAUAUCUGUGAAUACAUCCAUGGUCAAUUAGUUUUCUUGGUAAACAUAAGAAUUUAGGUUCACAUAGACACCCACUUUUAUGUUGGCUACAUAUUAGUUACACUGAUGCACUACUCAAGCUUUGCUUUCCUUAUAUGGAAAUUUCAUCCGUGAAGUAUGUUGUACCAGCCCUAUGGCUUGCUGAAUAUUGCUCUUGCUAAUCCAUUGAUGCUAUGCAUAUUCCACUUCGCCUGUCUGGGGUAAACUGAAGGAUGUGUCGUUGGCUGAUGAGGUUAUCCCCACUAAAGCCAAGAAGGUCAGGCGCAACUAAAACCAGGAAGGCCAAUUGUUGUUAAGUGCUCGCCCUUUUGGACCUUAUCAUUUUGUUUGUGGAUGCGCGAAAGAAUGAUGUCUGGAUAUGGGAGUGUCUCUUUAGAUGUAGAUAUAGAUGGUACCUCAAGCAACUAAACCGCGUAUGGGGAUUUAACAUUGUCUUUGGUGGAAAAGGCCCUCAAUUCUCGGCCACUGUUCUAUUUCUGAUUCCUUGCUUGGUCGUGUAGAUGUCGUGGGUAUUGUAGUCAAGGUUUCUGAUGUACUCCUGUUCCAGCCGCAACCAUGGCAAACUGUGACACUUACUAUGAAUCAUAAAUACUUCUGUCUAUCUCUUUAUCUCUGUAUAUGAUUUGGGCAGCAUGUGUGCAUUGACCAUUCUGAUCUCUUUGCUUUCUCAUCCCCGGCAUCCAGGAUACGUAGGCGGGUAUGACAUUCCUCAAAGGCGGGUGUACCGCGUAUGUGGCCGUGUUGAAAGAGUUGUGGCCUCUGUCUCUGCCUCGAAUGUCGAUGAUGCCUCUGUGCUAUCACUCUCAUGUCCUUUUUAUUUUGUUUGUUCAGUGAAUGUUGGAUUAGACAAGAAGGCUUUAUUCACGCUGAAUCUGUACAACUAUGAACUAUUUGUGUAUUCUUUUGUUUAAGCUUUGAAAUGAGAGAAUGAAAUGUUGGGUUUGAGCA